GAAACCAAAAUAGAGGUAAAUUAUUGUUAAUAAUUAAAAUGAUUAAAUAAUCC
rnacentral:tRNA from 1 species